UUCAUUUUCCCCAAAUACUCCUCUUACUCCCUAUGACAGAAACAAACAGAAAAGUUUUAGAGCCAAGGAAAUUUUUUUGAGCUAUUGACAUCUUUUAACAAGUUACUAUACUCCUAUGAACAAAAUUUGGAACAUAUUUGUUUCUCUCUACCUGAUUUCUCCAGAAUUUGGAAACUACUUGAAUCAAACUGGACUUAUAGAGCAAAUAAAAAUCCCUUGGGAAAACUGGCCUCAUACCUUGUCUACACAGUUCCUGUACAGGGUUCCUGACCAGUGGAAUCUGAAGCCACCUUAAGGCAAAGGAAUGACUUCCAUGGAAUACAGAUGAAGUUGGUAAAAGGAAAUACAAAGGAGAAAAAGUUUUGAAAAUGACUGCCAAAAAGUUUAUAAGCUGCAACAUUUUAAGUAAAUUUUAUUAUUAAUGAAUACACAGAAAUUGAAAGUAAACUCAUGGCUUCAACCUUUAUACCAAACCUCCACUCAAGAGAGCAGCAUGGUUUCCAGCGAUGGUUAAACAUUUCCACCAAGAAGCCUUAGUGAAAUUGGAAAGUAAUUGGAAGACAAAACAGAAAGAAAAGGAACCUGACAUCAAAAUAGAGAUUUUGUAACGGCUUAAGAACAGAGACCAGUUUGGAAGAUCAAGAGCCAUUAGGUUACAGAACUGUGAGUGAAUGUCACAUGCAUUUUAACUAGUAUUCCUUCAUUGUUUGAAGAACAAGUGUUCAGACAAUUCAUUCCUCAUGUCACAGAAUGGGCUAUAGAUGAUGAUAGGAUUCUCUCCUGGACCACGCUCUGGUCAUACUCCUCUGAGAUCCCUUUUUGAUUAGGCCCCAACUUGGGUUCUGUUCUUGGCCUAGUUAGUUCAAUUAGGCAAGAAUUCUGCUGGUUCAGUUUAACGAAAAUCCCUUAUCUUUGAUAUCUAAUCAAAUUUCUUAUCCCCCCCACAUUCAGUAUCUUAUCACCCUGGCUGCAUUCAGCAAGAAUUUUGCUAAGUCAGUUUAGCCAGAAUCCCUUCGAGGUUUCCUCUCUAGUAAUUUUCCACCCACUGACCAUCACUUAUCCAAAAUCCCCACUUAUCCUGGUAUUCAGAAUGCAGCCCCGUUCUAUACUGAGGUCUCUCUGUCCCCAGUGCAAUAG
rnacentral:lncRNA from 10 species